rnacentral:rRNA from 1 species
AUGCACGCUGGCGGCGUGCCUAAUACAUGCAAGUCGAGCGAACAGACGAGGAGCUUGCUCCUCUGACGUUAGCGGCGGACGGGUGAGUAACACGUGGAUAACCUACCUAUAAGACUGGGAUAACUUCGGGAAACCGGAGCUAAUACCGGAUAAUAUAUUGAACCGCAUGGUUCAAUAGUGAAAGACGGUUUUGCUGUCACUUAUAGAUGGAUCCGCGCCGCAUUAGCUAGUUGGUAAGGUAACGGCUUACCAAGGCGACGAUGCGUAGCCGACCUGAGAGGGUGAUCGGCCACACUGGAACUGAGACACGGUCCAGACUCCUACGGGAGGCAGCAGUAGGGAAUCUUCCGCAAUGGGCGAAAGCCUGACGGAGCAACGCCGCGUGAGUGAUGAAGGUCUUCGGAUCGUAAAACUCUGUUAUUAGGGAAGAACAAAUGUGUAAGUAACUAUGCACGUCUUGACGGUACCCAAUCAGAAAGCCACGGCUAACUACGUG